AUUGAACGCUGGCGGCAGGCCUAACACAUGCAAGUAGAACGAGUGGCGGACGGGUGCGUAAUGUCUGGGAAACUGCCUGAUGGAAGGGGAUAACUACUGGAAACGGUAGCUACUACGGCAUAACGUAGGAUGUGCCAAGAUGGGAUUAGCUAGUAGGUGGGGUAAAGGCUCAACUAGGCGACAAUCCCUAGCGGGUCUGAGAGGAUGACCAGCCCCACUGGAACUGAGACACGGUCCAGACGCCUACGGGAGGCAUCAGUGGGUAAUAUUGCACAAUGGGCGCAAGCCUGAUGCAGCCAUGCCGCGUGUAUGAAGAAGGCCUUCGGGUUGUAAAGUACUUUCAGCGGGGAGGCGUUACCCGCAGAAGAAUCACCGGCUAACUCCGUGCCAGCAGCCGCGGUAAUAC
rnacentral:rRNA from 1 species